AUACGGAGGGUGCAAGCGUUACUCGGAAUCACUGGGCGUAAAGCGCGCGCAGGCGGGCUGAUAAGUUGGAUGUGAAAGCCUACGGCUCAACCGUAGAACUGCAUCCAAAACUGUCAGUCUAGAGUCUGGGAGGGGAAGAUGCAAUUAGUUGUGUAGGGGUAAAAUCCGUAGAGAUAACUAGGAAUACCAAAAGCGAAGGCGAUCUUCUGGAACAGUACUGACGCUGAGGCGCGAAAGCGUGGGGAGCAAACAGGAUUAGAAACCCUAGUAGUCC
rnacentral:rRNA from 1 species